GCUCAGUUCUCACUGAUUAUUGUUAAUGUUUAGCUGAAUAUGCCAUAAAGUUUUAAGCUUCCAGCAGAAGUGACACGGCUGCAUUGCAUACAGAAAAUGGAAAGCCUGCUGUGUACCGAGGAAAAGCUGUGCUGACAAAAUGAGAGUGAUAUCAUUUAGAAGGGUUUUGUUUCAGGUGUGCCUUUCAGGGUGGAAAUGAUCAGAUUGAGGGGGCUUUCAAAGCGGCAGUUCGGUCCAGACCAGCGCAUGCUUUGCAUGAAAAAUUGAUGAAGUGAAAGCUGCCAUGCACACCGCCGUACAGAUCCUGAGACUACCUGUAGGAGGUGGUCUGAGUUUGGUUGGAUGAUUCUAGUAAAUGUGAAGGCAAUUUGUACUGCAUGCAACAUUAUAACACUAAAAUAUAUUUUUUUAAAUAGU